GCAUUGUUGGUUCAAAGGCAAAAUUCCUGGUUGCUGUGCAGGGGACCUGGGUUCAAUUCCCAGCCAAUGCA
rnacentral:tRNA from 1 species